CAUGUGAUAGGCUUUUAUCAUCCGUAUUGUGUUCUCCACAAAUUGGGUUGAGGUUGUUUCUCUGUUGAUAGUGUGCAGAAGUUGCUAGCUUCUCAGGGACAGGUUGUGUUUCCAAGUGAUAAAGCAGCGUAAGUUGCAUGACUUCUGAAUCAGAUGCAUUUUCAAACCAUGAUACAUGCUAAAUUUGCUGCAGAAUUUCUUUUCUUUUGCUUUCCCCCAAAUAUUUUCAAAUUAUAAGAGAAGGAUGAAAUUGGAAGCGCCUCUUGGCUUAUUGAUGUUAUCGAUAACCGAAUCGAUAAGCCCCCAAAAUCGAUAAAUCGNNNNNNNNNNNNNNNNNNNNNNNNNNNNNNNNNNNNNNNNNNNNNNNNNNNNNNNNNNNNNNNNNNNNNNNNAAAAUCAAAACCUUAUUGAAACGAUAACGAUAAGCAUAUGUACAAAUCAAUAAUCGAUAAGUAAUUAUCGAUAAGAGUCAAAAUCGAAUUGAUAAAACGAAUGCACACCCCUACUUAAAAUAAAUGAACCCUAGUCAUGGUUUAACACAAUACAUUGCAGCAGUUCAGCUCAUAGCCAUAUUCCAACAGUAAUUAAAUAACACAUAGUUUGACAAAAAACCAAACAAUAGUCACAACACUGAAAACUUGACAGAGUAAACAAGUACUUUCAUCACUCAAACAAGAACUGAAAUUUACAUUAUUUGAUCAAGGGUAAUACCUUAGUAGUAGCAAGAAGCAAAGAAAUAGAAAAUAAGUGUUUGAACUUGAGAAAGAGUAAAGCAACAAAAAAAGCAGCAACAGAAAACCAACAAGAGCAAAGAACCAACAACAAAAGAAGCUAAAGAAAACCCAACUUUAAGAAACCCCAUAAAGUUUUUCUACUCAGAAAUGAAGAUGAGUGGCAUGGAAUUUUUGAAAAUCUAGCCAAUUUGGUAAAAGUCAUUCUCCAAAAUGAAGAAAAAGAAUAAAUUUUCAUAAUGUACUUCGUGUGUCCAAAAUCUGUCCUUUUUGUAAGAGGGUCAAGAGUCUUAUAUAGAAUAUGCUCAAUUUCACAUGUGCACAAGCUAAGAAAGGAAUUAUUUUUUAGCAAAACACGCUUGAAUUUCCUGGGGGGAAAAGCAUCUUUUUAACAGAUUUUAUACAGUUGACUCUUGGAUAUUUUCUAUUUUAAUAUCUUAUCUCAAGCAAUUGGGACAGUUGUUCAUCACUCGACGUUUCCAAGCAUUUACUAAAGAUUCUUUCAAGUUAGAACCCUCAAAUUAACCGUUUAGUAUUUUUAAAAUUGCCUCAGAACCAAACCUGAUUCUAGGCUUGAGUCGUGUGACUCUGAUCCAAAGACCCUCCACCCCCCNNNNNNNNNNNNNNNNNNNNNNNNNNNNNNNNNNNNNNNNNNNNNNNNNNNNNNNNNNNNNNNNNNNNNNNNNNNNNNNNNNNNNNNNNNNNNNNNNNNNNNNNNNNNNNNNNNNNNNNNNNNNNNNNNNNNNNNNNNNNNNNNNNNNNNNNNNNNNNNNNNNNNNNNNNNNNNNNNNNNNNNNNNNNNNNNNNNNNNNNNNNNNNNNNNNNNNNNNNNNNNNNNNNNNNNNNNNNNNNNNNNNNNNNNNNNNNNNNNNNNNNNNNNNNNNNNNNNNNNNNNNNNNNNNNNNNNNNNNNNNNNNNNNNNNNNNNNNNNNNNNNNNNNNNNNNNNNNAGCCCUCAUUUGACAAAACUAACAAUUGAAUUUAUGGGCCUGCCUAUCACACAAACAUGCCCAACUCUGAGCUAAAUUAAACGGACAAAUCAAUUGAGGCCCAAAGUCAAAAAUGGACGAUACCAAAAUCCGAGACAAAUCAACAAACAAUUAUACUACACUAGAACAUGUAUUUAACUGUUAACCUAAAUAUAGAAUUAUUCAAAUUAACAAUCAAACACAAACCAACAAUCAGAAAAAACCUAAUAGGGAACUACGAAGAGAACAGAAUUAUCCAUUAAGGCAGAGGAUGAUAGGACAUAAGUGUAUCGAUCUUCAAACCUGUGGGCGACGAUUUGACUGGGUUCCAGUGGUUUUGAAAUGAACUAAGACUAACAUUAAUUAGUUUUUCUUGUUAAGAAGAAUUAACCAAUGUGAAUUUUAGGUCAAAAUAAAUAAAUUCACCAAAGAAAUUCAAAAAAGGAAAAUUUGGGUUUCUAGGAUUUCUGAGAUUUGAAAUCUAGGGAAUUCUAGUGAGAAUUGGGAAAUGAAUCUGGGAUGUUUUGAAAUAGGAGGGGAUGUGGAGUGUAGGGUAAAAUUUUGGGAUGGUUUGGAGAUUGUCUGCUGCCGUGAGAUGAUUUCUUGAAGGCGGCGGGCGGUGGGAAUUUGAGAGAGGUAAGAGAUAGAGAGACUAAUAAUUUGGGGGUGAAUUUUGAGAUAUUUUUAUUAUAAUAGGGUCUUAGUUAGGAGCCGUCAAAUCAAAAUGUACGAUCGAAAUCACUUGACACUCAAACGGUGACGUUUGAUUUAAAUGGGAGCUAGACCAGAUUUUUAGGUCUAGGCUGGGACAUGCAUGAAGGGAAACUGGGCCAUUGGAGCUUUUGGCCCAGUUAUAAACAAGACUAACACUUCUUUAAUUCUUUAUUUUAUUUUUUAAAAUUUUAAAAAAAUAUAGUCAAAUUAAUUAAACACCAAAACUAAUUUCUAAAUCAAAUAUAAAUUAAAAUUAAUCCUAAUUACUUAUUUUUUAUCAUUUGAACACUAGAUUAAUUCAAAACUAAUGAAAUAAAAUUACUAAUUUAAAGCUAAUAUGUGAAAUAGAGUUAUUUAUGUGAUUGUUUCAAUAAUGAAAGUAACUUAUGCAAUUAAAUUCGAAAUGCAAUUAAGGCCUAAAAAUGAUAUGUAAUGAAAAUUUGGAUAUUUUUUGGUAUCUAUGAUUUAAAAAGCACAUGAAAAAUGCAACUAAAUACAAACAAUUAAUUAAUAAAAAUUUCUACAAAUUCUAUUAAAAUUAAAAACAAUUAAGGAAAAAAGUAUUUGUGAAUUUUGUAGGAGUAUUUUAGUCUGGAAAAAGUUACCUGCUGACAAAUACUAUUGAUUUCCAAUCCCUGGCAACUGCGCGAAAAUAUGACGAGCGCAAAACACAAUACGAAAUUGAUGCUCGCUAGCCAAGGAUGGUAUAGUUUAAUAUUCGUCCUCACAAGGAUUGAAUUUAAAUAAUGUUCAGGUAAUUUCUAGCUUAACCCAAUUCAGGAUGAUUAACACUUUGGUUGGGAUGAUUAAUAACUAAAAUAAACUACGAAAACUAAUGCAAUUAAUAAUUGAUCACAGAAAGACAAGAGUUGAGCAAUACUGAAAUAAUCAAUGAGAGAAAUAAGGAUCGUAGCAGGAUAGGUGCAAGAUAGCUAUUCGGGUCUAGCUCUAGUUCAAUUCACUAUGAUAUUCUAAUGAUUCUUAUGAAUUCACUCGAUGAUCAAUUCAAAGAUGUAGCCAAGUCUCCUCUCGAUUAAAUCUUAACUCUACGAGGUGAACUAAUACAAUACCCUGUGAAAAAUAUGCAAAACCUCGUUUAAUGGAUUAGUCCUUAGAAAAACAUCUCUCGAAAAUUUUCUAACUUGAUUUAAUUAAUAAUUCAACAAGCUCAUUUGAUUACUUAGCAGAAUCACUAGAUUAAACCAAAUAAAAUAACACGAAGAUAAACACCAAAAUAUUCCUGUUCCGAUUAAAUAAAGUGGUUACUAAAAUUUCAUUCAAUUAAAAGCUCCAUAAAUGAAUUCAUGCAAAGAACUAGAGUUAAAUCUACAAAGUUAAAUCAAAUACCAUAUUUAUCAAACUCUACGGUAAACUACUCUAUAAUCAUGGAGAAAAUAGCCAUAAACAAAGUUGAAUAAUAAAAAACAUGAAUUCAAACUAACAUCGGGUGUUGAAUUAAGGAAAGAAUGAUGAAUUCUUGUAUUUUGAGUAUUCAAUGCUAUUCCCAUCUUCUGUAAGUCAAAAAUCCUCUAAAAAUUAUGCUUUUGGUGUAUUUACACCAUGUUAGAACGAGCACAAACGAAACUAUCCUUUUCAAGCCGAAGUGGAAAAUUUUGGAAACUAUUUUGUACUAGCUCCCCGCGCACGAAGCAUGGUAGUUUAUUUUUUCCAGAGUAAGUAUUUUUCUUAAUUUUCUAAAUCCAAACUUGGUCCUCGAACCUCGAACACAAUCCCAGCUUAAUUCUUUAGGUUUCUACUCAGAAUUCAGAGCUUCAAUUCAUUCAUCUUAGCUCUAAACUUUCUUCUCAACUCGAAAUCGCAUUCUACACCAAUAUUUUAAAAUGGCGAGGCCUAAGGUGAGGUGUUUUACCUCUAAUGAAGUGAUGCGUAAGUCCUAAGACAUGGGCGUAAGUCCCAUUGAUCUUUAAAUUUACUAAUUUCAACAAUUUUAAGAUUAUAAAAUAAAAAAUAAUUAUUAAAAUUGUAUUUAAAUCAUAAAAUUAUAACAUAUAAUCUGUUUAAAAAAUUUAUAAAUUAUAAUUCAACUAUUAAUGAUACAAAAAGUAUGACAUAUGUAAUAUGUAAAAUAGUUGCAAUAUCGUUACAACUCAAACAUCAAAAGUAAUGUAUUUGAUGCGAAAUCUUAUACUUAUCUCUUAAGGAUUAAGGAAUCUUGAAAGAAUUUCGAUAUUAUACUUUGAAUUUUUUUUAAAUACUUCUUUUAUCUAAUGUGUUUUCUAUUUGAAAGAGAACUUGUAUAAAAACACAAUUCACAAUAAAUAUAAUUCUCUAGCAUAGUUUCAACAAGUACAAGUUAAUAAAGUGACAUAUAAUUCACCAUACUAUACCAUGAUAACUAAUUAUUUGUAAAUAAUUACUAGCUAAUACUGAGCUAUUAAACUAGUAAGUGUUACUUUGUAAACGUAAAAAAAGAAAAAUUAAGAAAAAAAUUUCAAAACUUUUUUGGGCUAUUAUAUAAUAAAGGCAUAAAAAAAAGUUAAUAAUUAAAUACUUUUUAAAUGAUAGAUUUAAUCUAAAUUUACUAUGAUAGAAAUUUUAGUGGAUGCCGUACAAUGAUUUUUAUUUAUUACGACAUAAAAUACUCUCAACUUAAUGAUUUAUAAUUAUGAAAAAGUAAUUUUGAAUAUUCAACGAUUUAUUAAGAAAAUUUGAGGAUUUAGAAAGUUAGUUCCACACAAUUGCGUAAAGUUCUAGUAGGCAAGCCCAAUACGCUGGGUGUUGGAUGUGUAUGGGGCAUAAGCACCCACGACCGGGGCGUAAGUCUUACGGAACUAAGCCCUACAUACAAGUUCAAGGGUGUUUACGAGUGCUCCAUCCCUGGGCGAGUUCCGGACGAGUCCUAAUUCUACCUUUUAAGACAGAAUCCUAUACAACAUAGCCACUUAUUGAAAUAAGAUUUGAACAAUUUAGAUCAAGUGAUGAAAAACUAAUAAAUCAGAAGUCAGAUGCUAUUUUCUAGAUUAAUUGGAAUCAUUUAAACAAGGUCGAGGUCUAUUAAGUUUUGUAACCAUUGCGGCCAAAGAGGUUCCACAUCCAAAAAUUAGAGCUAUGCAGGGUCGAUAAUCUUCAAAGAGACUUUCUGCAAGUUGGAGGCUGCAAGUUAAGAUGAAUAGUAAAAGAGAUGGUUGUAGGAUCAAGGUUGUGAAAGAGACACGUGUCACAUAGCGACUAGGGAGCGUUGAGAAUUAAUGACAAUAUUGAACAUGUCUCUACAAGGGACUUGUAUAAACUGCAGUUCUUUCCAAGCAAAAGCAAAGCCUUAAAAGGGCAUAGGAAAACAGGCUAGCGAGUGCUUUAGUUUAAACUCGUCAUUAAAAACAUGGCUUCUAAACCAGGCAUUCUAACAGAAUGGCCAUGGACAUGGCUUGGGAACUUCAAGGUAUAUACGUACUCAUCUUCCUUCUCAUGUCUUCUCUUGAAUUUUCCAUCUGAUUUAUUCUCACUUUAUAGUCCAAAUAUCUAUGUAUACUAAACUAAAGACGCGGCAUUGCAGCAAGUGAAGGAUGGUGUUGUCAGUUGAACACCUUUCGUAGGAAAAUAAGACCGUGUAUAUAGGCCAAAUUCUACUUUUGUAUAUUGGCCAAAAUUUUGAAUACUUGAGCAUCCUUAAUGAAAUUCGGAAUUUCGCCAAUGCUAAAUUAUACAGUAAAACAUAUAUGGUUAAGUAGUUGGAUUUUAAGAAACUAUCUUCUUAUUUUCUCUCACUGUUGCUAAAAAACCUAUUCCUUGAAUAUAUCCAAUAAGCAAGACAAAUAUGUAGCAAUCGUGCAUAUUGUACAGUGUAGGAAUAAAAAUAAUAUUACAAUCUGAUAACUACUUCAAGAAUUAAUUAUAUCACACUUUUUUCUCAAUAUCUCAAAUUUAAUUUGAAAAUUAGUUAUUCUCUACCACUUGUACCAAAAGAGCCCCAAUUAUUUUGGCAGUCUACCUUUGUAGUGGGAUUUUAAUUCUAACACAUUAAAAUUCUGUGCCACUUAUGGAGGACUGCACGUUAUGAAGGCCCCCAAAGAUGCACCUAACAAUAAACAAGAACCUGAGAGCAACAAAGAACUGCAUGUUAAAUUCCAUUUGAUUACAAAAAUAAAUAAAUAAAGGCAAUAGUGUAGAAAAAAAUGAAAGAGCAAUAUAAUUGGCUAUUUGUGACUCUUUAAAUGGGUCUACGUAUAUAGGUAGUGACAAAACUUCAAGUUCUUAACAUAGAAAAUAAAUGGAGUAGCUAAUAGCUCAUGAUUUUUUAAGAAUAAUAAAUUUAAAUAGUCGUUCAUCCGACCGCUUAGACUAAAAAUAAGCAACAUAUACAUAUAAUAUUUGUAUAUCCACAUAUAAUAUGUAUAUCCUGUUAAAUCUUUGUGUACCGCCUAAAAAAAAUAAAAAGUGAAUAUGGCUGAUUAUUUCUCCCUUAACAACAUAUAAACAAAAGUGCAAUUAUUAUGUUAGAUGGUUAAUUUAAUCCAUAUUUUCUAUGCCACUUUGCACCAAUAUAACAAUGGAAAAAAACCAUGUAUUAAUGCCUUAUAACGUUAUUUCUGUGUUUUGGCAGCUGUGAUUCAUCCAUUUGCAGAGCAUAUAUCAUACUUCUUGCUAUUUGCCAUACCACUUCUCACAAGUGUGCUAACUGGGACUACUUCAAUAGUUUCAUUCUGUGGAUAUAUUACUUAUAUUGAUUUUAUGAACAACAUGGGCCAUUGCAACUUUGAGAUAAUUCCAAAAUGGAUGUUCUCCAGCUUUCCUCCUCUCAAAUACUUGAUGUAUACACCCUCGUAAGUCUCUUAUUCCUCUAUUGAUAAUAUGGUUGUCUUAUCUUUUUUAUAUAUCUUCAUUUGGUGCAUCAAUAUAUUCUCCUUUAUUUGUCCAACUUCUGUAUUCACGUAGCUAGCAAUGUUUCUUUGGAAAUUUAGGAAGAUCUUAAGCAUUAAAAAAUUGACAGAUAGCAAGUCUAAACUAGCCCUUAUGAGUUUGUAAAAUCAAUAUUAUAGUCUCAGAAAGUAGAAUAUAUAUCAACGUAGAUUUUUGAAUUAAAAAUUACUCGAGGAAAGACGAACUUUAUUAAAAUAAAAGUUUUUAAAUUUCCGUAAAGAAUUAAUUGAAUCACAUAAGAAAUUUUUUAUUUUGCAUCUCACACAAGUGACAUUAGUUGUGUAAGGUUUUGAAUUGUUUCACAGCAAAGUGGAUCAAUUCUUACACAUUUAGGUCCAAUUUAUUAUGAGACAAAACAAAGUCCUGCACAAAUAAUGUCAGCUUUGUGAUCCACAUAAUAAAGUUAGGUUCUAGCUUCCAACUUUCUCAAAAAUUUUAUUUUCCUUCGGCUAAUUGUAGUUAUUUAAUUGCACAGGUACCAUUCACUCCAUCACACACAAUUUAGAACAAACUAUUCACUUUUCAUGCCAAUGUACGAUUACAUCUACGAUACGCUGGACAAAUCUUCAGACACAUUAUACGAAAAAUCAGUCGAAAGGCAAGGCAAAUCGCCAGAUGUAGUGCACCUAACACACCUAACAACCCCAGAAUCCAUUUACCAUCUCAGGCUAGGAUUUGCUUCUUUAGCCUCAGAACCUUACACUUCUAAGUGGUAUUUUUGGUUAAUGUGGCCUGUUACAUUGUGGUCUAUGAUGGUUACUUGGAUUUAUGGUCACACAUUUACUGUUGAGAGAAAUGUGUUCAAAAGUCUGAAUUUGGAAACUUGGGCAAUCCCAAAAUAUCGCAUACAAGUAAGUAUUUGUAAUAUUUAUCGACAUUUUCACUAUGUUCACUAUUGAAGUAUUUAUUUAUUUUUGGCCUAUUUUUGGUUUCAGUAUUUUAUGCAAUGGCAAAGAGAGACGAUUAACAAUUUAAUUGAGGAAGCUAUCAUGGAAGCAGACCGAAAAGGCAUAAAAGUGUUGAGCCUUGGACUCUUAAAUCAGGCGAGUAACAUACUCCUUUUUUGUAAUUCAUGUGGCAAUAUCAAUCUUUUUGAGUGUCAGGAAUCUGAAUUUGCAAACUUGGGCGAUCCCAAAAUAUCGCAUACAAGUAAGUAUUUAUCCUAAUAUUUAACGACAUUUUCACUAUGUUCACUUUUCAAGUAUUUAUUUAUUUUUAGCCUAUUUCUUGAUUUGGUUCCAGUAUUUUAUGCAAUGGCAAAGAGAGAUGAUUAACAAUUUAAUUGAGGAAGCUAUCAUGGAAGCAGACCGAAAAGGCAUAAAAGUGUUGAGCCUUGGACUCUUAAAUCAUGCGAGUAACAUGCUCCUUUUUUUGCAUUUUAUGUGGCAAUAUCAAUCUUUUUGAAAGUCAAUCAGGUUCUUUUUUACCAUGCCUUUGGAAAAUAUUUUAAAAAUAAUUUAAAUUAUUAACUAUUAUGGUUAUAGUACUAUUUUUGUAAUUUCUACAUAAAUUUAUAUCCGAAUUCACACAAAAGAUAGAGUACUUUUACCCUCCUACCACGAACCUUACCAUUAAGGAACAUAGGAAGUGUUAAGGACCUGUUUGAUCGUAGAUUUUGUUAAGUUUUUUCCAAAUAUUUUUGGCAAAAUCUAUUUAUUUAUAUAUUUAUCCAAAUUUUGGCAAAUUUUGAAAACAAAAUUCCCAAAUCCUAAAACUAGCUCUACACCUGUUUUUGGCCCAAAAUAUACCUUUGAAUUUUUUAACAAUUUAAAAAAUUACCCCAAACUUUUAUAUAUUAUAAAAAGCACACCAUCUAUUAUGACGCAACUAAUCCAUCAGCUGGUUACUAUCAUUUUUUUCUAGAACGGUUGGAUAUUGUAAUAUUAUUACAAUUUGAAAAUCUAUGGUCAAACGCUAGCUACGAUUCAAAUAAUGCCUAUUUGUACUUUUUACUUUCAGAAAUUUAAUUUCUAUGUGAUAGUCAGCUCUGAUGCCUCUAUACAUGAAAUUUUACAGGAGGAGCAACUGAAUAAUAAUGGUGAGCUUUACAUAAGAAGGCAUCCUGAGCUCAAAGUGAAGGUGGUUGAUGGAAGUAGCCUAGCUGUUGCUGUGGCCCUAAACUCUAUUCCUAAAGGAACUACACAAGUGGUCCUUGGAGGCCAUUUGUCGAAAGUUGCAAAUGCCAUUGCCCUUGCCUUAUGCCAAGGGGGAGUCAAGGUCUCUUUAAUUGUAAAAAUCAAACACUUUAUUUGCUCACAUAGUGUCCUUUUUCUCAUUUAUUUUGAUUGUGAUAGGUCGUGACAUUGAGAGAAGAAGAGUACAAGAAGCUCAAAUCAAGUCUUACACCCGAAGUCGCAACUAAUUUGGUUCCCUCAAAAACAUAUGCUUCAAAGGUACAAAUAACAAAAAACAAUGAAAUUAGAUUGUUAAUCUUGAUUAUUUAUUAAUGAGUUUAAGUUACCAUCGGUCUAAGAAUUUUCUACACCAGUAGAUCAUUUUUAUCUAUUAUAGGUGGUAGCUUGUUUUAUUUUCAAGAUUAUAGAUCUUACAUUUUACGAAAGCUCACCUAUAUAUAAAUAUUACCUUUAGAUAACAACGUAUAUGACUUAAACUCUUUGUUAAAAAUAAAACCUCGAUUUAUACUAUUUGAAACCCCACCUUCACUCCCGCCCAAAAAAAAAAGUAAAAUAAGAAGAACAAAGAGAAAAAAAAAGAUUUGAAAAUAAAGAAAGUUACUGCACUUAACAAAGCAUUGAAUUGCAGAUAUGGCUAGUAGGUGAUGGAUUGAGAGAAGAUGAACAAUUGAAAGCACCAAAAGGCACAUUAUUCAUUCCCUUUUCACAAUUCCCGCCAAGGAAAGCUCGCAAGGACUGCCUCUACUUUCACACACCAGCCAUGAUCACUCCAAAACACUUUGAAAACGUGGACUCCUGUGAGGUAAUAAUAUUCUAAAUUCCCUUUGUUUUUUCUUCUUUUUUCAGUUUCACUAAAAAAAAAUCAAUUUUUUCUUUUAAUAAAACAAUAGAAUUGGCUUCCAAGAAGAGUGAUGAGCGCAUGGCGAGUAGCUGGAAUAUUGCACGCACUGGAAGGCUGGAAUGAGCACGAGUGUGGGAACAUGAAGUUUGAUAUUGAGAAAGUCUGGAAAGCAAGUCUUGAUCACGGUUUUAGACCAUUGACUACGGCUUUUGCUUCUGAAUCCAAGGCUUGAGUUAGACAUUUGUGUUUGUAGUUACUAGCUUGAGUUUGGUGGCAUAUGAGCUUAUUAUUAAAAAUGCAUACUAUAUAAAGUACCAAUUUGAUGUCAAAUCUUGUUGUUCCUAUUAUAUAAGACCUUUUUCAUUUUUUUUUAAUUAUCAAUUUCGUUCUCCGAAUGUAUUAGUACUAGAUUACGUGAUCUAUUACAUAUAUAAGAUCAAGCUUUGUAAGAAAUAUAAACAAAUGAGUGGUUGAUGAAAUAUUUGUGAGUACAAAGCCAUUCACUAAAAAGAAAAAGGACUGAUUCUGCCGCUAAUUAAGUUUAAUGACGACGACAACAACAAUAACAAUAAUAACAAGUUUAAUGACGAAUUAUAAAAAUAAAUCCCGUUAGCGACGGGUUAUAUACCGAUAUGCCAAUUCCUAAUUUUUAGUGGUUGGAUAUACUAAUAUAUUAUCUUUUUAAGUUAGAGUGGAAUAGGGGAAUAGAAUUGGAUUGUCUGGUAGGUGUAGGAAGGGAAUUUUAUAAAGAUUAUGCAGGAAAAUAGUGUUGUUCUAUUGAAAGCUUUAUUCAAGAGAGAAGGCAAAGGUUCAAAAUCUUCUAUUUUAUAUGUACUAAUUUAUGUGGAGUAAAUUAUUUAAAUAGUCACUCAAUUAUCAUAAAUUAUCUUAUAAAGUUAUUUUACUUUCGUUUGUAUCAACAAAGUUACUGAACUAUGCAUCUUGCACUCAAAGGUCACUCAACUAAAUUUUUCAAAGUUCGGAUUGCCAAAUACGUAUUUUACCAUUUAAAAUAUAAACAUUUAUCUUCUUCUUAUUUUUUUUAAAAACUUUUUAAUAUCAUGAUCUUACUUUUCUAAUUUAUAUUGGACUUACCUAUAGAAUAAAUAAAUAUUAUUUAUAAAUUAAAAAAAAGUACUUAAGCUUAUAUAAUACUGGAAUAACAAAAUAAUGAGCGUAGUAAAAAAUAUUAAUUAGAAUAAUUUGUUAGUAAUAAUAAUUUAGUGUUUACAACAAAAAUACAAAAAAUUAUUUACACAAUUUAGAAUGAAAGAAAAUAAAGGUUGUAAAAUAUUUAUUUCAUGCACGUAAUAUAAAAAUAAUUAUUUAAAUAAAGGUAUUUAAUAAUAUACAUUAUAUAUUCUUGAAAAUUAUGCUCAAUUAUGAGCAUAAAAAAUAGGGUUGUUUGCUUUAGAAGAUUAUUCGCUUGCAUGGUAUACAUGUUUCUAUCAUCUCAGAUGGUGGUACUCAAUUUAUAUCUUACUUUUGGAGAGUAGUUCAGUGUGAUGUGGUCACGCGGGUGGACUUAAGUACUCUUUUCACCCUCAAACAAACGGGUAGUCUGAGUAGAGCAUUCAGAUCUUGAAGGAUAUGUUGAGGACCUGUGUAUUUGAUUUUGGAGGAUAUUGGGAUCAGCUUCUAACUUUGGCAGAAUUUGCCUACAACUACAACUACCAUUCUAGUAUCUACGCGGAUCUAUAUGAGGCAUUAUAUGGGAGGAGAUGUCGCUCUCUGAUUGGUUAGUUCAAGUGUGGUAAGGCUAGGUUAUUUGGCUAAGAUUUGGUUCGUGUUGCUUUGGAGAAUGUGAAGUUGAUUCAGGAGAUGCUUCGCAUAGCUCAGUCUAAACAGAAGAGUUAUGUGGACCAGAAAGUUUACAAUGUGGUAUUUAUGGAGGGUGAGAAUGUUUUUCUAAGAGUUUAGCCUAUGAAGGGCAUGUUGAGAUUAUGGAAAAAGGGGAAUUGAGCCUUAUAUUGGUCCAUUUGAGAUGUUAGAAAGAGUUGAUGAGGUGGCCUAUAGAGAGAGCAUGAUAUGCGGAACAAUCAUCCUCAUCCUUUUGACAUUUCAUGUAUGAUUCUAAACUUGUUCGAGGAUGAAUGCUUGUUUAAGAGGUAGAGAAUGUAACGACCCAUCUAGUUGUUUUGUGUAUUUGAGCUUCAUUUCCCUAUUUGAUGCAUAUGCUUGUUUGUUGUUUUGUGACUUGAAGGGAUUGUUGGCUUAGUUUAGAAAUAUAACACUUAGUUCCACUGUUAGAAGCUUAAGUUAUGGGAGUUGACCAAGGUUUGAAUCUUGAAGAGAUGACCUCAGAUUGGUGAUUAGAGAAUACUAACGUACUUGGAAGUUCCUAGAAGUUUUUGGCACUAAUUAUAGAAAGUUAAAAAUUUGAAGGUUUAAAGAGUUCAUAUUUUUAACAAAUAGUUGACUUUGAUGAUAUUAGACUCGGAAUGUUGUUUUUGAACUUGGAAUAGAUACAAUUAAUGGAUUGGAACUUAUGCACGAAAUUUAGUUGGAAUCCGAACUAUUUAGGCAUGAUUCAUAUGUGAUUGAUGAAGUUGGAUGGUUUGAACGUCAAGAGAUGGAUUUUGGUCUUCGAUUUGUAGAUUUGAUGUUAUUCAUGAUGGUUUGGGUCUUUGGCUUAGGAUUAGGUAUUACAAAUUAUUUUUACGAUAGGACGAGGUCCGAGAAGACUUUGAGUGUGUUUCGGAUUGGUUUUGGACUAUUUGAGAAUAGUUUGGCAAUUCUGGUUGUAGUGCAUCGUACCUGUGGAAGUUUGGGUGCAAGUGCGACUACUCUGUUGCAUUUGUGGGAUUGAGGUGAUCUGGGGCUGUUUUCGUCAAUAGGGAAAGCGGGCCGUAGGUACAUAGGCACAUUUAUAGAUAUCCUAAGUGUGCCUAUGCAGAUUGACGGUCCUCGGUCAUAUGCACACAUGUGAAUAAAGUGGAAACAUUUGUGAGGUCACAUAUGGCCGGAGAUGUGAAAGGUUGGAAGCAUUAGUCAGGAUCAUAAUAUGAGCGUAUAAGUGGUGUCGUAGAUGCGACCCUUUUAUCCGUAGAUGCAUUAUCGCUGGCAGAUUUUGUUCCGCUUUAAGAUUCGUCAUGCGUUCCUAUUGUUGAUGGUUUGAGGAGAUUGAUACUUUAGGGGCCUCAAAGUUUUGCAUCAUUCUAUUUAUUAAAGUGUUAUGAAGAUGUAUCGUAAAUUGAAGCAACACUACUGGUGGUGGAGGAUUAAACAGGAAAUUAUUGUGCUUGCUUUAUCAUAUUUGAAUUACCAAUACGUAAAUUAUGAACAUUAAAAACCAGGUAUUUCAACUCAGAAAAUGGUUACUAGACUGGAAUUAGAAGCAUAUUGGAAUGGACUUCGUGGUAGGCUUACCACGUACUAUGAGAAAGUUUGAUGCCAUUUGGGUCAUUGUUGAUAGUUGACUAAGUUUGUGCACUUGAUACUAGUGUUGACAACUUAUAAUUCAAAGAGGUUGGCCCAAAUUUACAUUUGAGAGAUAGUCCGUUUGCGUGAUAUGCAUAUUUCUAUUGUUUCAGACCUGGAUACUCUGUUCAUAUAUCACUUUAGAGAGUUAUGCGGUGGGAUUUAGGUACAUAAGCUACGCUUAGCACUUCUUUUCACACGCAUAUCGAUGUAAGUUAAAGCAGACCAUUUAGAUUCUUAAGGAGCUUGUGUGAUGGAAUUUGGAGGUUACUGGGAGCAUUUCUUGCCCUUGGCAGAGCUUGCUUAACACUAUAGUCAUUAGUGUGAGUAAGUGAUUUUUGCCCUACGCAAAUUACUCCUAUAAAUUCAAACAAAAUAAUUUCUUUAAUUUUUCACUAAUUGUUUGCAUUUAUUUUGUCUGUGCAUUUUAAUUAGUGAAAAAUACAAAAUAUAUUGCAUGCACAUCUGGAAGUUGAUUUGAUCAUUUUCAAGAAUUAAAUAACAAUUAGUCGUUUUAUAAAAAAAACUCAACAACAGUUUAACUUGCUCUUUUAAUUUUAAUUUUUGAUUUUUAAGGGGUUUUCUUUUAAUUUUGUCUUAAUUUCUAAAAUAGUUAUGUAGAUUUGAUUAGUAUUCCAUCGGUAAAUUUGGGAUUUGUAAUAAAUUUAGGAUUUUUAAUAAUUAUUGAAAAUGAAAAUCAAAGAAAAAUGAAAAAAGAUAUGAAAAAGAAGUCUGGAAAAUUAAUUAAAAAAGAAGAAGAGAAAAGACUCAAUUUGGGCCAGUUUCAAUUGAAUUUCAGCCCAAAACUCCCCAUAAUCCGGUCCAGUCCACACCCUAUAUCCGGUUCAGUCCCCCCAACAAAAACAACGUCGUUUUGGGCAAAACGAUCAGACCCGUCUAUGUUUCAUAAUAUGAUGGUUGAGAAGCCGGGGUAUAAUGAUAUAAAUAUGUGCAAACGAUCCCCAUCACCCCCAAAACACCUCAUCUCCAACCUGUAUCACAGAAACCUUAACGCCACCUCCCUCCGCCAUGCGUCGCCAGCCGAAAAUCACUGCCGCCGCCAGAGGACCCCAAUCACCACCAAAUUAACACCCUGAUUUCCCUUAGCCUCCUCUAUCCAAAUCUGUAACCCGCUUCCCUCGAAUCCCACCCCAUCCUGUCAAAUAUUGGUUUCAAACAACGGCUCCUCUGCCGUGUACGGCGCCACUGCCUCUAUUCCGCCCCAAAACCACAUCAUACAGUCUCCACACCUCCUUCACUUCAGAACCAUAGCUUGUUGCCCUCGAAUGUCCCCGCAAUUCCUCAAAAUCCAGAUCUAAGGUUUCCGGAAUCCUCCAAAUGGUGCAUGUAGAUUUUCAGGGUUCGAUUUAAAAGAAUUAAGCUAAGUUUUCUAAAUUUCUUUUCUAAUUUCGUUUGGCCUCACCUCUUUCUGCUAAAUUGUUGUCAUUAGUCUGAACAUGUUUAAUUCGAAAUUGCGUCAGUCUUAUUUGCUUAAUAUCUGAGUUCAAAAUUAGAUUCAAAUUGUGUUAGUCGAGUUGGCUUUAAUCUGUUAGUUCAAGUUUUCAUAUUAAAUUGAUAAGUUUAAAUUGAUUUUGAUUCGAGUUGUGUUAGUCUCUACCAGUUGAAUUGAUGUCCAUGUUAAAAUCCAUGUGUUUAAUUAGUAUUGAUUCAAAUUAUUUUAAUCUUCUCAGUGGAUUCUUGAGCCUAAAUUAGAUUUGGUUGUAUGGUUUGCUCACAUACUCGACUAAUCAUGAUUUGCUAAUCCUAAUUUUAAGCUAAAAUUUUUGAGUGUGAUUGAAACUUAGUUUAAGUUCAAAGGUGAAAUGCAAUAACAUUUAACUAAAAGUCUUUAAAAUGGUUGUAAAUAAUUUAAAAUCAGGACAUAGGGAGAAAUUGAAAUACCCAGCGAUUGAAAGGGCAAAUGAGGGAAUAAAUCUUAGAGAAUCUUUGCAUAACAAUAAUAAAAGUUUCUAGUAGGGGGUCCCCUAUUAAUUGCAAUGCUUUAACUUGGUUAACAAGUUAAAAACUAAGGGAACUAAGUGAAAUAAAAUAUCUGAAGGUUGCCCUAAUCCUUGCCUAUAAAGGCAUUCCAACCUUGCCUUUCAAAGCAGGUUUUCAGGGCUAAAAAAAGGGAAAAUUCUGAAAAGAUUUGAAGGAUAAAAAUUCUAAAAAAACAAAGAGAUUUGAGAUCUAAAAAGUGAGAUAAUAGAAGAACAAUCAUAAAGGUCAAAUAUAAACAUUUUACUGUUCCAUUGAAACACCUGUUGAAUCCUUUUCGAAGCUUGAAUUUCUGAAAUAGUUCCUUGAUGUGUUAAAAUGAACUGGGGUAUUUGUUUAUUGAAUUCCGGCGUUGAGGUCAAUUAGGUCUGCAUUAGAUUAUUUGGUUUGAAAUUAUGUCAAAAAAAUACUCAUUUGGGUCCUGUUGGUGUUGCUACUACUAUUACUGAGAUUGCUGCCUAGCUGGCCUUCAAUCUUCCUAUUAUGUUAUGAUUUCCAGGUAUUUACUUGACCUCCAAGUCAUAUUUGAAGUUUGAAUAAGAUAAUAUUUGAUCAGGCUUGAAGAAAUGAUGAAAUUGUUACACAUUUCCCUUUUUAAUCUCGUUCAUAUCAUCUGAUACAUGUUAGAUUUGCUUAUUUUGAUUUGGUGUAUCCUCAAGUACUUGCGAACAUGUUUGUUUAAAUCUAGGCUCCAUGGAAAUUUGAAAGUGGUAUGGUCUAGAUGUAUUAUUAUUUGUAAUAAUUGGACUAUAUGGGCUCAUGAAUAUCCAUUUAGUAUUGUUAGUUUAAUUUUAAUGUUUUAAGGCAUGCUAUCAUGUUAGUUUGAACGAUAAAAAUUGAAAUGUAAUAUGGGCCUAAACCUGGUUUUAGGACCAAUGUUUGUAUUUAGUACUAAUGUUAAGUUUGAGUUUAAUAAAUGUUUGAAAUGGAUCUAUGCUUCGGUGUUUAACUUCAGUAGUUUGGCUCUAAAAUCAGAAAACUAACGAUUCUAAAUCUGUACCCAAUAAUUCAAGCAUCUCCUUUGGUUUGAAAAUAUUAAUCACUUUAGUUUGUUGUUGAAUUUCAGAAAUGAGAGUAGUAGCUCAUUAGCUUAAACAUGAUCUGAAUAAGAGUAUGAAAUUUGAUUUUUAAGCUGAGCAAGCAUCUGAUUUAAGCAAAUUUAAAUUGUUCAUUUGUUACAAAAUUGAUCAUUUGUGAGGUCCAAUUUAAAGUCAAUGUUGAUUUGGGCUCAUUUUGGGCUAAAACUAGUCAGAAUUGUUUGAAUGAAGUUCGGGGCCUCUUUUGGGCCAAUUACAAGCCCAAUAUUGAGUUCCGGCUUCAAGUAGUGGAUACGAAAUAAAAACACCAGCAAUGGCAAUUGUCUUUGUUCGAAAUUUGGGCCUAACUUGGUGGGCUCAAACUUGCUCUUCUUAUUAAAUACUAUUUGUUGGGUCAAGUCGUUCUUGUUAGGAAAAUUAGCAUCACUAUAAAUAAUUAAUUAGAAUUCAGCGAUAGUUUAAUGUUAAUUAUUUUAACCCUUUAAUUGGAAUAGGAGUUCAACUAUGCUAGAUAAAAAUAGUUCAUGGAUUUCAAGCCUUGGUCAAACGUCCUUUAAAAGAAAAAAACAAUAAAUAAGUUAAAUUGAGGUGCGCCGCGCCAAAUAAAAUCGUGAAUUGCAUGGACCUCAUGUAAUUAUGUCUUUAAACUACUUAGAAUUUUGGUGGGCCAUUUAGCAAACUUUCAUGGCCUCCCACAAAGAUAUCAACAUGCUAGUUUUUUUCGGCACAAAUUUAAUAAAGCUACUUUCUUAAACUCGGGUGGCAUCUCAUGUGAACGAAAUUCAAAUUCCAAAAUAUUGAAUAAAAUGUGUUUCGGAUCCGGGUGCAUUUCAUGUGACAUGAUCCAAAAACACGUCUUAAACUUAAAAAUUAAUUAAAAGUGAAAAAUAAUUUUAAAAUUGCACUAUUGAUUGAAACAUGUAUUAAAAUAAGAUAUUAUCGUGUAUCUUUUUCAUCUUUACCCUUUUUUCUUUUCAAUCUCGCAUCAUAUCUUUUAUUUCUUUCAUAACCUCCCUUCCACAUUAUGCCUUAAAGCUCUAGUGUAAUACAUGCACCUUUGAUGCAUACAAAAUCAUGUGAUAAUUUUAUAUUGACUUGUUACGACUCAGCUCUAUGGCAUGAUCUGGAAAUAAAAGAAGGGUAACAUUUCCUAAAUUCCUUAAAGCAUCUCAAUUAUAAAUAUGGUACGCAACUCAAUCAUAGGUUAGACUCUACAAAGCAUGGUGUAACGACCUGUUUGGUCAUUUUUUGAAUUAACUCCACGAUCCCCAACUAACUGCUUUUCUCGUGUUUGGUUCUACUAUUGUGAGUUUUUGGGAAGAUCUAUUUUAAGCUUCAGAGUGUUUUGGUAUACUUAGUCCCUAAAUGAGAGCUUAAACAUUAAAAUUUGAACCUUAGUCGCAACAAUGUGAAGACGGCCUCGGAAUGGGAUUCCGUAAUUUUUGUUAGCUUCGUUGCGUGAUUUCGGGCUUAGGGGCGUGUUCGGAUUGUGUUUUUGAGGUUCGUAGCUUAUUUAGGCUUGAAAUGCCGAAAGUUAAAUUUUUGAUGUUUCCAGAUCAAUAGUGAGAUUUUAAUAUCGGGGUCAAAAUUCGAUUUUGAAAGUUGGAAUAGCUCCUUAGUAUUGAAUGUGACUUGUGUGCAAAAUUUUGACUCAAUCAGACUUGGUUUAUUUGGUUUUGUCAUCGGGUGCAGAACUCUUAAGAUUUCAAGCUUAGUAGGCUUGGAUUGGAGGGUGAAUCAUGGUUUUAGCAUUGUUUUUUGUAAUUUGAGGAUUGUACUAAGUUCAUAUAAUAUUUUAGGAUUGGUUGGCAUGUUUGGUAGAGGUCUCGAGGGCCUUAGGUGAUUUUCGGAAGUUUAACGGAAGUUGAAUUUGGACUUAGGCUAUUCUGAAGUUUUCUACUUUUGGUAUUUUUGCACCUGCAGUGAGGAGCCCCCAUAUGCGAGUAAGUAGGUCAUAUGUUCGAUUUGAGCACUAAUGGCCAAUGAUAGCAGAUGUGGUUAUUGGAGCGAAGAAACGGAGCGCAUCUGCGAGGAAGGAGCGCAUGUGCGAUUUCUGCCCAAUUAAUGAAAUCUCACAGGUGUGAGUCCCCAACUGCAGAAGCAGAACCAAUGUUCGUCCUAUGAUUGUAGAAGUGGAAAUCAUUGGGCAGAAAUAUGAAAAUUUGAGGGUUUGAAGCUCAUAUCGCCAAAUUUGAUUUUUAGCUCGGGAGAAGACAAUUUUGUGAGAAUUUCCAAGAGGAAAUUAGUGGGUAAAGAUUCAUUAUCCCUUUAUUGUUGUAGUCCAUUAAUCUAAUCUUAGUUUUGUUAUUUAAUUUUGGAUUUGGGUGAAAAACUGAGAGAACUAAGUAAAAGUUCUCCAACUUAAAAUUAGAGUUUUGAGGGAGAUUUUGACGUCAGAUUUUGAUGAUAUUUGUUUGAGUGCACUCGUUAGUGAAUGGGUGCUCACAAUCCAUAAAUUUUAUUUGAUUCCGAGACGUAGGCCUUGUGUGUUUUUUGGGAGUUUUUCUAUUUUAUUACCUUAGCUUCGAUAACUUUAGCUAAUUAGGUAUUUAUUGUUGUAUUGAGAUUGUAAAAUUUAUUUGAUUAUAUUUGGGUCACUCAGGGUUAGAUAAUCGUGGCAAGAGUGUGACUUUGAUUAAUUUUGAGCCGGUUUAAGGUAAGUGGCUUGCCUAACCUUGUGCGGGGGAACUACCCUUAGUAUUUGGUGUUCUUAUUAUAUGAAUGUCGUGUACGUGAGGUGACGAGUGUGCAUACGUGCUAAUUGUUUGAAAACCUGAACACUACUUGCAAUUAAAAGUAUUCUGCUUAAUUUAGGAAAGCAUGCCUAAGUGCCUUAACUGUUCUACCUUCUUAAACUAUUACUUGAAUUCUGUGCACGUGAUUAGAAUAGAAAUAUCUGUUUUCUUGGUACAAACUAGGAUAGAACUUAUAUUCUUCUUGAGACUAUUGUCUGUAUACUUCGAGACUAUGGGACGAUGUCUCGGGAGAUCCCCUUGCAUGUUUACUAUUGGACUACGGAUUAGUAUUUCGGGAGAUGCCUCUGCACAUUUAUAUUUGGGACUACGAGACGACAUCUGGGGAGAUUCUUCUUGUAUUGGAUAUUGAAUUUGGGACUACGGGUUGGUAUUCUGGGAGAUCUUCUAGACAUUUACGUUUGGGACUAAUGGACGGUAUCCCAGGAGAUCCCCUAUUGCUAACUUUUUGUACUGAUUUAUAUUCCUUCCCUAAUUCUAUUCUUUAUUGACUGUUAGUAUUUUUCUUAUGUUGUCGCAUUUCAUAUUGUUUCUUUAUUUUUAUAUAUAUAACAAGUAUGGCCCUGACCUUCCUCAUCACUACUCGAUCGAGAUUAGGCUUGGCACUUACUGGAUAUUGCUGUGGUGGACUCAUGCCCUUUCCUGCACAUGUUUUUUGUGUGUAGAUCCAGGUUCUUCUUCUCAGCCUUUCUUUCAGUGAGGCGGUUGAUGUAAGAGACUUCGAUGUACAUCUACCGCGUCCGCAGAUCCAUAAUUCCCUCUCUGUUCUUCUCUUAGCUUUAGACUUCCUGUAUUUACUUUUGAUUAGACAUUCUAGAGUUAGAACACUGUGUAGUAUUUAUAGCUUGUGAUUUCAUGAGAUUCUGGGUUUUGGCAUCUUUAUUUUAGUAUCAAGAGAGUCUAUCGUAUUUUCCGAGCAGCAUUUAAAACUCUUCUAUUAUGCUUUUAACGGUAACUUGCCAGUUAUUGCAUUUUAUUUCCCUUUUCCACAAUUUGUUAGGCUUACCUAGUCAUAGAGACCGGGUUCCAUCACGGUAGUUCACGGAGGGAGAACUUGGAUCGUGACAAGUUGGUAUCAGAGCUCUAUUUUCAUAGGAUUCAUGAAUCACAAGCCGGUUUAUUAAAGUCUCGAAGAUCGGUACGGAGACGUCUGUACUUAUUUACUAGAUGCUAUAAAAUUAUUAGGAAAAUUUGACUUCAUUUGAUUUCCUUGUUGUGUGAGAUUUUGAUGUCAAAAUUUUAAACCUAUGUCUUCUAUUCUCUCACAGAUGGUGAGGACACGUGCUACUGGAGAUGACCAAGCACUCGUGCCCUCUAUUCGAGCCAUUAGAGGUCAGGGCUGGGGUAGAGGCCAAGAACGCAUAUAUGGUGCUACCAUAGCACCUACACGAGAUGCCACACAGGAGCCACCAGCCGCUCCACCUGGAGCCCAAGCACCUGAUACGCCUACUGCUACUACUACAGCACACCAAGAGACUCAUGCAUAGUUAAUGAGUAUGUACACCACUCUAGUUCAAGUAGGGUUGCUUCCCCUUACUACAACCACAUCUUAGGUAGGGGGAGGAGCACAGACUCCAGUCGCCCGCACUUCUAAGCAGCGAGUAAAGGUUAUGGAGGUCCAAAAGGUUAUACCGGUAUCGCCUACAACCCUAGUUCAUCCCAAGCAUAAGGAAGUAGCUUUAGAGGAGGAAUAGAGGAAGCUUGAGAGGUUCCAGUAGUACCAACCUCCUAUAUUCAGUGGUCUAGAAUCGGAGGAUGCCAAAGGAUUUCUAGAAGAGUGAUAUCGUAUCCUCAGCACUAUGGUUAUAUCAGGAUCGACUGAGGUUUCUUUCACUACCUUCCAGCUUCGAGGAGCAGCCUAUCAGUGCUGGCGUACUUAUAAGUUAGACACUCCAGCUGAGGCAGUUUCCCUAACAUGGACUCAGUUUUCAUAUAUGUUCCUGAGACAGUAUGUCCCUCAAAGCCUCAAGGACACCUGGCACGCAGAAUUUGAGCAUUUCUGUUAGGGUACUAUGACUAUUUCAAAAUAUGUUGUCUGUUUCACUAAAUUGACUAGGCAUGCAUACACCCACCUUUGUUCUAUGGUUUGCGAGAGAGUAAGCUAGGUUAUUGAGAGGCUUAUUCCCAUCAUAAGAUCUAGCAUGGACCUAGAGUUGGAGAUAGAUAUUUCGUAUCAGCAAGUGGUGAGCAUUGCUAGGAGAGUAGAGGGUAUGCAUGCUCGGGAUAGAGAGGAGAGGGAGGCCAAGAGGUCUCGAGAGUAGGGACAUUAUUUUGGUGCCUCUAGCUACAGUUCGUCAUGUUAAGGGUUAUAUGAGUCGGUUCAUCCAUCUCUUCUACCAGCCAGUAGUAUUCCAGCUCCUCCUAGACCUCAAGAUCCCUAUUGUACACCUCCAAUAUCUAGUGCGCCGCCUGCAUGGGGUGCUUUCAUUGGUCAGUCUAGCAGACAUGGCCCGAGCCAUUCACAGUCUCCAUGUUCUCCUAGAGAUUGUUUUGAGUAUUGCAACACAUGCCAUAUGGUGAGGGACUACUCCAGACUUACGAGAGGUGCACGUCCAACGACUUCUCAUCCACAGCCUGCCUCGUAGGACAUGUACAGCACCAGUUUCUACCCUAGCCACUCCACCAGCUAGAUAUGGAGGUCAGGGAGGUAGAGAUUGCCCUAGAAGGGGAGGCCAUGCUAGAUAUUAUGACUUUCCUGCUCGUACUGAGCCUAUCGCUUCUGAUUCUAUCAUCACGGGUAUUGUUCUAGUUUGUCAUAGAGAUGCAUUGGUUUCAUUCGAUCUGUUCUCCACUUAUUCUUAUGUGUCCUCUUAUUUUGCCCCGUAUUUGGGUGUAUCUCGGGAUUCUUUGAGUUCCCCUAUUUAUACUUCUACUAAUAUUUAAGAUUCUCUUGUUCUGGACCAUGUUUAUCGGUCGUGUUUGAUUUCUCUUAGUCGUUUCAAGACAAGAGCCGAUUUAUUAUUGCUCAGUAUGGUAGAUUUUGAUGUUAUCUUGGUCAUGGACUUGUUGUCACCCCAUUAUGCUAUUCUUGAUUGUCGCGCCAAAGACGUGACGAUGGUUGUGCUAGGUGUACCGCGAGUAGAGUGGAUGGGUACCUUAGAUCACACUUCCAUUAGAAUUAUUUCAUUCCCGAAGGCUCAUCGAAUAUUUGAGAAGGGGUCUGACGCGUAUCUAGCUUAUGAGAGAGAUUUCAGUAUUGAUACCCCUGCAGUUGACUCUGUCCUAGUAGUACGAGAUUUCCUUGAUGUAUUUCCAACUGAUCUUCUAGGUAUGCCACCCGAAUGAGAUAUUGGUUUUGUCAUCAAUUUGUUGUAGGACACUCAUCCCAUUUCUAUUCCUCCUUAUCGUAUGGCUCCUCCUAAGUUGAAGAAGUUAAAGAAACAUUUGCAGGAAUUGCUUGACAAGGGUUUAUUCAGCCCAAUGUAUCACCUUAGGGGUGCUCCUAUCUUGUUUGUGAAGAUAAAUUAUGGUUCUAUGCAUAUGUGCAUUAAUUAUCAGUUUAACAAAGUUACAGUGAAGAACUGAUGUCCUUUACCUCGUAUAGAUGAUCUGUUCGACUAGUUGCAGGGUACACAAAGGUUUUUGAAGAUUGACUUGAACUUAGGUUAUCAUCAGUUGAAGAUUCAGGAUAUAGAUAUCUCGAAGAUGACCUUCAAGAUUGAGUAUGGUCAUUUCGAAUUCCUUAUUAUGUCAUUGGGUUGACCAAUGCCCCAGCAACCUUUAUACAUUUGAUGCAUAGUAUAUUCUGGCCAUAUCUUGAAUCGUUCGUCAUGGUCUUUAUCGAUGACAUUUUCGUAUUCUCUCGUAGUUCAAAAGAUCAUGAGCAGCACCUGAGGACAGUGCUUCAAACUUUGGGGGAAAAAAAGUUAUAUGCGAAGUUCUUGAAAUGUGAGUUCUGGUUGGAUUCUGUGGCGUUCUUGGGUCGCGUAGUAUCAAGUGAAGGGAUCAAGGUGGAUGCAAGAAAGUGGAAGAAGUGCAGAGUUGUCCUCGACCGUCCUCAGCUAUAGAGAUCUGUAAUUUUCUUGGCAUGGUGGGUUAUUACCAUUGUUUUGUUGAGGGAUUUUCAUCUAUUGCAACACAUAUGACCAAGCUGACCCAGAAGGUUGCUUCGUUCUAGUGGAUGGAAGAGUGUGAGAAGAGCUUGUGGACGCUCAAGAAUGCUUUGACUACAGCCCAGUUCUGAUAUUGCCUAUAGGUUUGGGGUCUUAUACUGUCUAUUGUGAUGCCUCAAGGAUUGGCCUUGGAGCGAUAUUGACGCAGGAUGGUAGGGCGAUUUCCUACGCGUCUAGAUAGCUGAAAGUGCAUAAGAAGAAUUAUUAUGUCAAUGAUCUCAAGUUAGUUGCAAUUGUUCACGCCUUGAAGGUUCGGCGCCAUUAUUUGUACGAAGUGCCUUGUGAGAUUUAUACUAAUCAUCGGAGUUUGCAACAUCUCUUUAAGCAUAAGGACCUUAAUUUGCGCCAAGAGAGGUGGUUAAAGAUGCUGAAGGACUAUGAUAUCACUAUCUUGUAUCACCCGGGCAAGGCCAAUGUAGUGGCCGAUGCCUUAGUGACAUUGUAUCACCCGGGCAAGGCCAAUAUAGUGGCCAAUGCCUUGAGUCACCAAGCGGAGUGUAUCGUGCUUCAUAAGGUGUGAAUUUCUUAAUUAGUUAGUAUAUGGCUUGCUUUUUUCUCCUUAUCUCGUAUUAUCCCAGAACAUAUCUGAAGGCUCCAUAUAAUAUAGGUAGAUAGAGUACCUAAGGUUUACCUGGCUCUGGCCGGAUCAAAAGCGGUGGUGUGGACAGGUAUUUCUCGAUUUUGUUGAAAGCUUUAGACAAUCCCCGGUCCAUCUUGUUUCCGAAUCUUUCCUCAACAUUUUGAAGAUAAGCACAUAUAAAUGUGGACUGUUCUAUGAAGCGAUUGAUAUAAUUGAGAUGUCUUAGGAAGCUCAUUACAUCCUUUUUUCUCCUAAGCGGCAGUAACUCUUUAAUAGACUUAACUUUAGACGGACCCAAAUUGAUUAUUCGACGAUUGAUACUGAAUCCUAGUAGCUUUCCUGCAAGAACCCCAAAUGCACACUUUGUGUUUUUUCAAUUUUAAGUUGUACCUCCUUAACCUAUCAAAGAACUUUCUCAUGUUCGCUAUCUUAUCUGCGUCCCUCUUGGAUUUGAUAAUGGCGUCGUCCACAUAUGCCUCUAUUUCUUUGUGUAUCAUAUCAUUGAAGAUGGUUGUAAUGGCUCUAAUGUAUGUAGCCCCAGUAUUCUUUAGACCGAAUAGGAUCAUCUUGUAGCAUUAUACCCACUAUGGUGUAAUAAAAGUUGUUUUCUUGGCAUCUUCUUCGUCCAUCCAGAUUUGGUGAUAACCAACAAAGAAAUCUACAAUGGAUUGAAGUUCAUGCUUGGAACAAUUGUCGAUCCGGAUGUGUAUAUUUGGCAGUGGAAAGUCAUCCUUGGGACUUGCUCAGUUUAAGUCUCGGUAGUCAACACAUUCUGACUUUCCCAUCUUUCUUGGGAGCUAGUAAAAUGUUUGCUAACCACGUUGGGUAUUCAAUCACCCUAAGGAAUUUGGCUUAGAUCUGCUAUGUAACUUCCUCCUUGAUUUUCAAACUCAUAUCUUGUUUGAAUUUUUUGAGUUUCUGCUUCACUAGCUAACACAUGGGAUUGGUAGCAACUUGUGAGCUCCUAUGGAUGUGCUCAAACCGCUCAUGUCAUCAUAUAACCAUGCAAAUAUAUCUUCAUACUCCUUCAGGAAAUGAAUGUAUUCUUCUUUCUCUGUCAGUGGUAAGUGAAUGCUAAUAAAAGUCUAUUUGAUAGUUUCGGUAUCUCCCAAACUUACUUCUUUGGUUUCGUCCAGAUGGUACUUAGGCUUAUUUUAAAAGUUCUCAACCUCUCAGACAAUCUCCUCAGGUAUUUCAUCUUCUUCAUCUAAGUCACUAUCCUUAUAUUGUGUUGCCUCAUUAUAUGUCACAGUCACCGAUUCAUCAGCAAAAAUAAUAAUAACACUGGAGAAAGAAAAUGUGUGGAAGAUAAUAAUGAAUAAUAAAGAGCAAUGCAUUGAUUAAAACUAAAAAUGUCCAAAUAACUGCUCGAUGAAUCGAGCAUUUAUUUUGCAGUAUUUAAACACAUACUGCAAAAUAUAAAUUCGUGUCCUAAUUUAGGAGCCUCGUUGUGCCCGAGGUAGGCCUAGCGACAAAUAGAUGGAGAAAUACAGUGCCCAUAAUAGCCUUAUUUAAUUAAUAUAAAAAUAAACGACACUAAAUAAUGUUACUAAUCGAACUUGGCUUUAUUACAUUUAAAUGAAAAGCGAGUAAAUUUAAUCUACCUGGUCCGAGAAGGACCCUCCCCAUACCGAAGGCUAUUGUAGAUUAAUCUCCCACGUCAAGCAGGUUCGGCAGUAAGAAACUUUGUGCCUCAUUUUUCUGCAAAACAAAAGGUGGUUAGGCCUUUUCCCCCCAUCAAGAUUCGUCUAUUUAUACAAUAAUGAUUAGCAUAUUGGCACUUAUUUCUCUAAAUUAAUGCACACAGUCGUGAUUGCAUCCAUUGGGAUUAUGGAAAACCGGGCAGACUUUUGGACGAGGCUUUAUUUUCAAAGGGUUAUUAUAGGGACAUCAUAUUAACCUAGCUAGGCUUGACCAAGAUGCAUGCACAAGUAAUCAGAGUAAGGUUGCUAUAGAAGUCUAGAUUGGGACCCUCAAGCGGACAACUUAAGGGAGAAAGGCACGAAACCAUUGACUACACCGCUGAUCGACUAGUUUUACCGCAAAUAUGCCUUUCUUAAUUUAAGGGAAUUAAUUGGAAGAGCGCAACCAUUCAUCAAGUGUUGCUAUAGGAUUUGUUAGGCACAAAUGGAAUAUGAUGUGGAGCAUAAGUUAUGCAACAACAAAUAUCAUGUUGUCAAAUAUUUGCACAUUAAAAAACGGUAAGUGUAGUAUCAAAAUAAUUGAAAGACAGUUACGGAGAAAGAAAACAAAGAGAUAAAUCAAUUUCAGGAGAUGGAGAAAAUCAUAAAUAAGUUGUUAAAUCGAAGUAAAGGGGAGGAUGCACGGGAUAAAGCAUGUUUAAGACUAAAUCAAAAAUAAGUUUGUUAUGGUAAGAGACUAAAAUAUCACCAGUAGAGCCGCCAUGUUGUCGGGCCCUAUUUUUUCUUCGCAGGGAAGUCUGGGUUUCGACAUUCAUGGGGCAACAACUCGCUUCCUUUUGGGAAUUGAGUGUUUGAAGAGUCGCCAUCUAAUGGAUUAAGGUGCAUUAGGGAACUUAGAGAAAUUAACUCAUGUAACCAGUUUGCACUGCCAGAGAUUAGGGUAAGGGCAUGAAAUAACCUUGAGUGAAAGAUGUUAAGCACUCCUUGCGGCUCACAAUGAUGGGUCCCAAUCGAACUUAACUAUGUGAAUUAGUCAAUUAACAAGUAAGCAGUCCCAAUACAUAUUUGCAAAUAAAGGUAGUGUACAUAGUCUAAAUAUUAUGAUCAAGGAGGUUUAGAUAGUUUAAACACAUAUAUGUAAAGAAAAAUAAGUUUAGAUAGAUUAAACAAAUAUGAAUUGGGAAACAGAAGUCCUAAGUUGAUUAGCGUAUAGGAUCAAUCUCUGCAAUGCCCGGUAAUCCUCCUCAACUAGAUGGGCUACAUGUGAUAUUAGCGUAGGUCAUCAUAUCCUUUUACUAACCAUUACCCCUCCCCCCUUAGCGGUUAUGAACGAUUUUAAUAAACGAACUCUAAGCGUGCUUUACCUAUCCCUUCCUUGUGGUCCCCAAGGAGUUUAGGACCUCUAGACUUGGGCAAUUCUAGACAAUCCUAAGGUGUUUAAAAGGCAAAAGUCUAGGCGACAACAAAUAACAUACAGGACUGUCAAUGAAGGAAUCAGAUAAAAGGCUCAUGUUUACCUCAACAUAUACAUAAGGCAAAUAAGCAGCACGUCUCAAACAACUUAUUGAAAAUAAAUUUAGAAAGAAUAGGAACAUGAUAUCUAAAUGAACAUUACAUAACAGAACAUGUAGUGUCUGUUUCAAGGGAAGUGGCUUAAUCCUAACCAGUUUGCCUACUGGUUUUAUGGCAUGUUAUGCCUGGACAAUUUCACACAUAAACAGAAUCUAAUUUCACAGUUCUCUAAUGGUUAAGGCUUGCCUAGGGAUAUAUAUGCAGUCAUAAUCUGGGAACCACUUAAAUUAUUUAAAGUUCUUUAAUCCUAUUGGCAUGCUGAUCUAAGUGAUGAAUAUUAUAGCAGGUAAUUUUAUAUUGAUUCAUGCCAGAACAUGGUACUAUGUGUGGGGUUGUUUUAACCUACUUAUUUUAACGACAUGUUUCAAAGUAUAUGUACAUGCAGUCACAAGAUAUGAUCUCUAAUGCACAUGGAGAAGGUUAUUAUAUUUUAAACAAUAUUAGUAACUUAAUGGUAGUAUUUCUAAGUGAUACCGACCUAUGCAGAGUUAGAAGUAAAAUGAUGAACUAUAACAUAUGAUAUGCAUAAGAAAUAAAUAUGAUUGUCCUAAGUCAAGGUAUCUAAUGCACAAAUUUUGUAUGAUUUAAUGCGAGUAAGCAUAGAAAUCCUAAAUCAUGAUAUCUAAUGCGUCAUACAAACCUAAAACAUGAUAUCUACAUCAACUCAUCAUAAUGUAAAACCUGAAACAUGGUUUCUAACCAAUUUAUCCCAUAGAAUCAUAUAAAUGCCCUCCCUAUUCUACUAUUUACCCCAAUAUUGAUUUAUAAAGGAUUAUUACAAACCGGGAUUUAGUAAAUUACUUCAAUGAGAAGUAAACUUCUAUAAUAGAGAGCUUGAAGAAGGCCCUAAACAAAUCUAGGAGUACAAGGCCUUUAGAGUAGUCGCAAAUUCCCGGAAUUCUUACAGCCAACAAGUGUCCAGGUGUAUCAGAGUUUCCUAUGGACCUCAAGGAUAUCGGGAAGUGCUCACACCAAGACCUUUCUCAAAAUAAGGACAGGUUAUGUGCAGUGUGGAAGGGUCACUUCUAGCAUGCCAGAGUUCAGAGAGAUCUCAAGGAUACCUAAGCAGUACACAUACCAGAGGGGCAGAACUUAAUAAUAUAAAAGUAAAGUGCGAGUUAUUGACACAGUUUGAAAGGUUUGGUGAAAACAGUAUAGGGAUGACUCUAAGAAUUAAAAUAUUUUCUAAAAUAGAACUAGUUUUGUCACAACCCCGAUUCGCCCUCCAUGAACAAUCGUGAGACUCUAAUAAACCGAUCAGUUACACAGCCUUUUGUAGAUAAGUAUAGACAUCUCCGUACCAAUCAAUAAGUCUCUUAUAAACCCGCUUAUGAUUCAUUACUCUUAUGAACUUAGAGCUAUGAUAUCCACUUAUCACACCCCGUAUCGCCCUCCAUGAACCAUCAUGACGGCACCUAUUCUAUACGACUAAGUAAGCCUAACAAUGUGCAAAAUAAACAAAUUUGCAAAAGAAAUAAUUAAAACCAAAAUAAUAAGAUAAUACAAUGUUUAAAAGUGCCGCUCGGUACACAAUAACAACUCUCGAAACUAAUACAUUUCCAAAAAUCCGGAAGUUUAUGAAACCACAAGCUUUUGGAUGUCUUCAAGUAUCCAACUCCAGAAUGUCUAACAUCACAGAAGGGAAAAUGUUUAAAUAAAGAAUAAAGAGGGUCUAUUUGAUCUAUGGACGCGGAAGAUAUACCUCGAAGUCUCUAGAACAGUCGCCUAGACUUAAGGGUGAUAGGACUGAGUCAAAGUACCUGGAUGUGCAUAUGAAAAAGAUACACAGAAAGGGAA
rnacentral:lncRNA from 1 species